GUGUGUGUGUGUGUGUGUGUGUAGGUGUGUGUGGUGUGUGUUCUGAAGUUGUAAAAUGACCUGAAUGGGUCUUCAAGACGACCUUCAGAGCUGUAGGGGGGCGGCUCUUCCUGUGUCUGGUCCCUCCCUCAGGUCCAGGCCUCCUCUGGCUGAACUCUACCGUUGGGUACCGGGCUAGGUGAACCUGGGAGAAGGGUUCCCUUACAUCAGAACCGAUCUGGGACCUGUCCCAGCUAGGGCUCUCUUCAAGCUGGAGUUGUGCUUUUCUUCAGCGGAGGACGUAAGGAACCCUUCACUUGGCGCUUUGGAGAUGCGUGGAGAGGAGCGUUGCAGUGUGUGCCAUGGUUCUCUGAUGAAGACCUUGGUCGUGUUUUACUGGCUGAGAGGAAGGACACACACGUCUUCCUCUUGGCCCUUUUCCUUCAGAUUCCUUCCGCCAUCUUGAAGGAUAUUCCAGCUCAUGUAGCUGACGUCACAACAGAUUCUCAAACCCCUGGUUUCUCCUCAGGGGCGUGUCUGCAGACCUGUAGACUUCAGACACUGCUCUGUGUCCCAGCAUGCAUCUGCUCACUCACACAUCCAUCAGCAGGCCAACGCUCUAGCGGUGGAGAUGCAGAUCCAGGAGUUCAGGCAUUGGGGUUCAUUGAAUCAGCAGUCCUCUCUCCAUAAGGCCCGCUCCUCUCUUCCUCCACUGGAGCUGUAGAUGUGUUGGUUGACAUGAGGGUUAUUGGUGAUGAUGUCAGGGGGAUGUUGCAGGGUCAUGGUCGGCUCUCUGAGCUCGACCUUUAGAUUGGAUCUGUAUGGUUUGAACCCUGAAUUCUCCACAUAAUUCAGUUUAUUGUAAAAUGUAGUCACUGGUUUGCACUGAAGGAUUCCAUUGGUGUUAGGGUUUGAGGUUUAAGGUCGUUGUGGGACCUACAUGGUAGUUCUGCUCUUCGUACGGUUUGAGUGUUUUAACUUGUACACACUGGGUGCACAGCAAUAGAGGUAGACUGAAUAGUAGUGAUGACCAACAGCAACAAACAGAUCUCCUCAAGGUCAGUCUGCUGGCUGUGUUUUGAUGAAGACCACCGCUGGACUUCAGGAUCUUCCUCCGCUCAGCUCCAGGUGAGGCGCUGGUCAUUCUUUUCUUUGGUUGGUUUAUAUAAUUAGGGUUUAUAUAAUUUGAAUACAAUUGUAUAUUAAAGUUACUCUUGAUAUUUCUACAACUGUCAUGACCGUUGCCUUUGUUAUUACAAAAAGCCUGCAAAGUUCACUUGUGAAAUUCACUGCAAUUAAACCACACAUUAUACAUGAUUGUGUUCAUUUCACUUACCUUUUGGCAUGUCCUUAAUGCCAGCUACCUCUUGUUUUGACUUUCUAAUCGUUCUCUUUCUACUGCCAUUAUUUUCUAGUUCAUAUCUUGUAUUGUAUCACAAUCGGCAAUCGUGGUUGAAGAGGAUCCACUUAGGUCCCUGGUUAAAUGUCUAGAUCUCAGUGAUGGUUGAGUCAGUUCAUGCCGGUCCUCGCUCUAGAAUGAAGCAUUAUUCUGAUAGGACAGAGUCCGAAGAAUCCUAGCAUUGGUCACCCUUCACUCCUUGUUUGCAGUGGUGGCAGGUCAUCAAAUUUGUGGGUGGGUCGCAGUAAUGGACGGGAGGGAAAACAUUUUGAAUGUGGUACAUUUUAUUUCCGCUCUCUCAAAAAAAUAAAAAAAGUAUCAUGUGUAAUCAUGGACUAACAUGAACAAAAACACAACUUUUACAUACGGUUAGACGGAUAGAUAACGACGGAUCGAUUAAUAGAUUCAUUCAA